rnacentral:rRNA from 1 species
UACGAAGGGGGCUAGCGUUGCUCGGAAUCACUGGGCGUAAAGCGCACGUAGGCGGAUUUCUAAGUCAGGGGUGAAAUCCUGGAGCUCAACUCCAGAACUGCCUUCGAUACUGGCGAUCUCGAGUUCGGGAGAGGUGAGUGGAACUGCGAGUGUAGAGGUGAAAUUCGUAGAUAUUCGCAAGAACACCAGUGGCGAAGGCGGCUCACUGGCCCGAUACUGACGCUGAGGUGCGAAAGCGUGGGGAGCAAACAGG